rnacentral:lncRNA from 1 species
UUUAUUGGACAUUAACGAAGAGAUAGAGCAGUAGGACACCUUGUGCUAAGUAAGGUUCGGUUGUCUUCAGCUUGUCUCUCAGUUUGCACAUAUUGCGGCCUCAGCUCAAAACAUAGGCACACAGUUUUCACAAGUAAAAUAUGAGCGGAUGGACGUUGAUGACACAUCUGAUCCACAUAGCCAUUCCAUUCUUUCACUUCAUCUUCCAUCCCACGCGGAUUCUUCCUGUUCCAAGGCGGCGACCCCCCGCGCGCGCACCAUUCUCACUUACCGUUUCCGAUGGUCCGAUGAGUUGACCCACUCCUCUCGUCUUCUGUUCCUUUCCGACCGCAGGUUUCUUCCACCCCAAGGAUGAGUACGGCCACGCUACAUGUGGUCUCCACCUUCGUACCUUCACAUGCGACUCGUUGCCCUUAUCCUGUCUUGAAUGCCAGCUCUUGGCCACUUCCCC